UUGAAGUGUGGCACCAAAAUUGAAAGGAGAAAGAGGCACCAAAUUUCACUCAUGUCCGUGUGAAGAAACCACCAGGCUUUGUGUGAGCAGUAAAGCUU
rnacentral:lncRNA from 1 species